GGUAUUUUGGGCCUUUAGCAGUUACCAAAGUUCCCAACGAGGAUAAGCCAGAACCCGAGAUUGAUCUAACAUGGGGUUUAAACUCAAAGUCGUUAGAAGUUCU